ensembl:lncRNA
GGUAUUGCUUGGAGUGUUUGGUUGGAAAUUCAGAGCAAUUACCUCUCUCACAGAUGAAUUGAACAGCUCAUAAAAUGCUGUAUUUCACAAAGAAGGAAGGUAGAGGGUGUUUUGGGUUUUUUUGUUGUGUGUUGAGUAGGGUUUUUGGUUUUGUGGGUUUUGUUUUGUUUUUUUUUUUUUUUUUUUUAAUACUCCUGCGAGUUUGAAUUUUCAUCCUUCAAGAGAAAAAUGUGGAUUGCAAAGAUCUUCCCAUGCCUUGGAUAUCACAGAGUGUGUUUUUGGGAGUUCCUUUGCCUAAUGGAGUCGUGUAGAAGCAGAAUGCCUUCCUAAAGUUGACUGGUAUUAAGGCUUCACCCCUCGAAUGUGAGCCUAUGAGGGCAAGGUCAGCUGCAGAAAGAGGUGCUGCAGCAGAGUCUGCAAGCUUAGAGGGACGUGUUCUCAGUGGGAUCACUACACUGGUUGCCUGUAGGGCCAGAAGUUAUCACAAUUCUGUGUGGUACUAAAAUGAAGUAAAGAGCAGUAUUAACUUGGAUGUAAGGGCUAAUAGCACUGGCAUUCUGUACAAAGAUGUAGAGUUGCCUGGAGGGAAGUAUACUGGUGUCUGAGAAAAGCGCGGUACAUAUCAGAAUCGGAGUUGUCGGUAAGGCUCUUUGGGAUACCUCUGUAACAGUACCAGCAGAAGUGGCAGUCUCCAUCCUGGAUCGUCCCACGUUCACUCCUUGAAGGGUGAUUGUAACCUGGUCCUACACAGCACAGAACUAUUACAAAAACACAGUACUCCACCUGCUAUUCUUAACCCAGUCAGUCUCUCCAUUCAAGAAGUUUGUGUGUUCCAAUAAAAACAACCUAGCUGUGCACUUUUCUGUAGCUUUUGCUGAGAACUCUUCCCAGGUUGGCACCUGAAUGCCUUACUCUCAGCAGUCAGAGGCUUGCUUGCUCUGUGUGCAGGUUAUUGCCAUAGAAUAGUUAGGACCUACAGCUUCUUUCCUUCCCCAUUAAAUAGUGGCCUUGUUCAGUAUAUUUCUUUUUAAAAAUUGCUUACUGUUGGAAGCAAUGAAGCACAUUCUGGGGUUUUGAUGGUUGGGGACUCUGGUGAUGGUUCCAUGUAAGAUGGGAUCUUAUUACUUGCUGUAUUCUUAACUUCUGCUAAUAAAAGAACCAAA